rnacentral:rRNA from 1 species
AUUGAACGCUGGCGGCAGGCUUAACACAUGCAAGUCGAGCGGAGAUGAGGCGCUUGCACCUUAUCUUAGCGGCGGACGGGUGAGUAAUGCUUAGGAAUCUGCCUAUUAGUGGGGGACAACACUCCGAAAGGAAUGCUAAUACCGCAUACGCCCUACGGGGGAAAGCAGGGGAUCUUCGGACCUUGCGCUAAUAGAUGAGCCUAAGUCGGAUUAGCUAGUUGGUGGGGUAAAGGCCUACCAAGGCGACGAUCUGGAGCGGGUCUGAGAGGAUGAUCCUCCACACUGGGACUGAGACACGGCCCAGACUCCUACGGGAGGCAGCAGUGGGGAAUAUUGGACAAUGGGCGGAAGCCUGAUCCAGCCAUGCCGCGUGUGUGAAGAAGGCCUUUUGGUUGUAAAGCACUUUAAGCGAGGAGGAGGCUCUUAAGGUUAAUACCCUUGAUGAAAUUGAUGUUACCCACAGAAGAAGCACCGGCUAACUCCGUGCCAGCAGCCGCGGUAAUAC